GCAGUCGAUGUUUGACGACGAGAUGAGAAGGGUAAAAAUGUCGAGGUUUUUGAGUAAACAAAAUUUUCGCACUGUGAGAACGAAUCGCGAUAACGUUCAGCUGCAGUUGGGUCGAUGUGCACGCAACGACGUCGGUCGACUUUUCAGAGUGUAAUGACGAAAUCGUAAAGUGGAGGAAAUUUACAGUUGUUUUUUUGUGCGAUAGUUGGAAAAUUCUACAAGCACAUUAGAAGAGGAAUUCUGGGCAGAAAAAAGAAAAACUGACGGGAAAUCGUUUCGAAUCUUUCCGCUUUCGAGUGUCGGGUAAUUCGAGAUUCGGGGUACUUUGGCAUCGCGUAUCCAGUUACCCCGUGAUCCGGAACAUUCAAACGAGCACCGGAUGGGCAAAUCGCGAACCCGGUCGAACCCGUAGAGUAUGCGGACGAAUCAUCCCCCAAUGGUCCCUGGCUUUCGUGGUCGCUCCCAACAAUCUCAACCGACUUUUUUUGCUCCUCGAGCUUCCGACCUCCGCGCAAACAGUGUGGACGAAAUUUUACGGUGAAGAUCACGUUUUCUGCACGGGGUAACCGCGGAUGAAUAUUUCUGAGUAACCCUUGGAAACGUCUCGUAACGAAGAAGCGAAAAAUAUUCUUUCUCAACGUCACCGGAAAUUCAAUUUUUACUCCAGUUUAUCGCAGAGUGAGAAUACGGAUUUACCAACACCCUAUAUGUAUUAUAUGAGCAGAUAGCUCUACCUACGUUGUUCGGCUGUCGGGCAUAUUAUUAUCCGUAUGCACACACACAUAUACCCGUUCACGAAAACUCCGAGGUUGCAAACCGCCACCCGUCGAGAUUCGCGGAUUUACCCUGGAGAAAAUAAAACCCGAUACCGAAUGUUCGCGGUGACACGCUAUUAAGAGACGAUGCACAACAAGGGGUAUUACAGAGCAACGGUAUGUCGUUGCAGGGGUGGCGGUACGAAGGCAAUUAUUAGGGUAGGAAAUGAGAUUCACCUACGGGGUAUUUCUAUCCGAAGGGGGAAAUUUAGACCACACUAGGGGUAGGUAGGGGAUUACGUAAUGGGGAACAUACGGAUCAUAAUAUAUCGUAAUGGAUAUAACAUUAGCGUGCGACGAUACUGUAAUACGCGUUUAGUUCAGUUUGCGUGUUGGGGUUACAAAGUCGUUCUCCCCCCCUUGGAAAAGGGGGACCACCCCCCUCAAUCCCCCUCCCCCCCCCCCCCCCCCCCCCCUCGCCGCGCACCGGUACCCCGAAAACCGUGGCACAGGACCCCUCUCCGCGAAGGAGGGUGCAUAAUUUAUCGUCCUCUUCCCUUUUCGUCUCAUCGCCAAAAAUCCUCGCGCUCUCUUUUCUCCUCUCUGUUUCGCCUAUAGUUGUACGUUAUACGUUACGUGCCGUAGAUCCAGCGGUGGAUUCUCGGUGUGGGUGAAAUUGUAUCGAUGCGAACGUACGUAUAUUUUAUACGUGUAUCGUAUGGUCGGCAAACAAAACAUUUACAUUUCUAAAUUCAUAGCGUUAUACGCUAUUUAUUCGGGAGAGAAAGAUCGAGAAUAAGAGGGAGGUAUGUGCACGCCGCGUGGAGUUAAACUAUAGAAGUCGUUAGCACCCGGCGCGACGUUACCAGGCGAAUAAAGCGGAUGAAUAUAAUAGUUGAUUACUUUAGAAAAGGGAGUAGAGCACAAUGAAAUGGUAAGGGGGUGUUAAAUGCUAAUCAUCUCAGGAGUUCAGUUUAGAAAAUAUCAAGCUCCGGACAUUGUUUUGCUUUCAAAUGAAUUAGAAUCGUUAAAUAUCCUAUACCAAUUCAAUCCCGCGAGCGACGAUUGUAUAUAUCGCAAUGUUUUACAGCCCGACUUAAAAUAUAAAAGAAGAA